rnacentral:rRNA from 1 species
AUUGAACGCUGGCGGCAGGCCUAACACAUGCAAGUCGAACGGUAACAGAAAGCAGCUUGCUGCUUUGCUGACGAGUGGCGGGCGGGUGAGUAAUGUCUGUGAAACUGCCUGAUGGAGGGGGAUAACUACUGGAAACGGUAGCUAAUACCGCAUAACGUCGCAAGACCAAAGAGGGGGACCUUCGGGCCUCUUGCCAUCGGAUGUGCCCAGGUGGGAUUAGCUAGUAGGUGGGGUAACGGCUCACCUAGGCGACGAUCCCUAGCUGGUCUGAGAGGAUGACCAGCCACACUGGAACUGAGACACGGUCCAGACUCCUACGGGAGGCAGCAGUGGGGAAUAUUGCACAAUGGGCGCAAGCCUGAUGCAGCAAUGCCGCGUGUAUGAAGAAGGCCUUCGGGUUGUAAAGUACUUUCAGCGGGGAGGAAGGGAGUAAAGUUAAUACCUUUGCUCAUUGACGGUACCCGCAGAAGAAGCACCGGCUAACUCCGUG